rnacentral:rRNA from 1 species
CCUACGGGAGGCAGCAGUGGGGAAUUUUGGACAAUGNGCGCAAGCCNGAUCCAGCCAGUGCCGCGUGCAGGAUGAAGGCCUUNCGGGUUGUNAACUGCUUUUGUACGGAACGAAACGGCCUUUUCUAAUAAAGAGGGCUAAUGACGGUACCGUAAGAAUAAGCACCGGCUAACUACGUGCCAGCAGCCGCGGUAAUACGUAGGGUGCAAGCGUUAAUCGGAAUUACUGGGCGUAAAGCGUGCGCAGGCGGUUAUGUAAGACAGUUGUGAAAUCCCCGGGCUCAACCUGGGAACUGCAUCUGUGACUGCAUAGCUAGAGUACGGUAGAGGGGGAUGGAAUUCCGCGUGUAGCAGUGAAAUGCGUAGAUAUGCGGAGGAACACCGAUGGCGAAGGCAAUCCCCUGGACCUGUACUGACGCUCAUGCACGAAAGCGUGGGGAGCAAACAGGAUUAGAUACCCUGGUAGUCCACGCCCUAAACGAUGUCAACUGGUUGUUGGGUCUUCACUGACUCAGUAACGAAGCUAACGCGUGAAGUUGACCGCCUGGGAGUACGGCCGCAAGGUNGAAACUCAAANGAAUUGACGG